rnacentral:lncRNA from 1 species
CGUAUAUAUUAAAAAGGGACUUCAUCUUGGCACUGUUUAUAGGAAUGCAUGCCUUUUUUGGGAUUUAAUGGUUUGACAAUUUUUCAUUUUUUCCUUUCUUAUACUCAUUUUCACAUUUCUUCUGACAAACCCUGGCGGUUGACUCUCCCGAAACUUCUCCCACCUCUUGCGUCACGUCCUUUGUUUUUGCCCUAAUCUGCAGGCUAAUCCAGAGAGAAAGUAGGCGGCGGAUGCUAGAUCUUCUUCUGUCAUAUAUGCAGUUACAAAUAAUUCAUGGAAAGUAAUAGGAAUUAGACUAGCAGAGUCUUCAACCGGUUCAAAUCGAGUUCUUUGGUUACAGGUUUAGGUUCGGUGGAUCUAUGCAAUCCCAAAUGCAAUUGCCACAUUUUGGCGGUGGUUUUAGUAGGAUUCAUGAAAAUGGUGGUUUAGACAGCUGAGGAGAUUGUGUGACUGAGGGUAAAAAGUCAAAGCUAUGUUCAUGGUAGUUGGAGCUAUCUAUUUUGUGUCUGUUUUCUUGGUUCUAUUUCUUCUUCCUUUUUCAAUGUUGUAGAAAAUCGAUUAAUAACGAAGGCCUCAAUUUUUUUAUUUUUUAUUUCUUGGAAGCAAGUUUAGUUGUAUGUCAAUUUUUGGCAUUUAAUGGUACACACUUUCUUCGCUAAAGAAAAAACCAUUAAGUUUUUAAAGGUGAGAUUACCAUUUUUCAUUUUUAUUUAAUCAUUGUUCAUGGAAGUAAACUUAAGUGCUCUAAGUUCAUUGUUACAGCUGUAAAAUAGAACUUCGAGCCUCGUGUUCAUAGCAUCUGGGUCUUUUACUUAUUCAGGGGAUUUGAUGCCUUGAUUUCUCAAUGCUCAGGAUCUUUCUUCUCUGGAUUUUUCUUUUUUCUUUUCUUCCAACAUCUUAAUAUGCACUAAUUCAUGGGCUUUAUUGUUCUCUUUUAUUCUAUGAGUCCAGCAUCCCAAUCUUUUGUUUUUACUUUAUGGUUUAUGUUUCUCUUUAUAAGGCAAAUUUAUCUUAAGCAACUAAGUUGUACAUCUACUUGGAAUGAAGCUGUUGUGUUUAUUGUAGUCUAAAUCAGGAAACAACUUCAUUGGAUGUAUUUAUUUCAAGUAUUUGUAAGAUGCUAUUACUUAUCUGGUGAUUUUCUCAAAUACGAUUUUAUAUAACUUGACUUCUUCCCAGGUUUCAGUUCUUCAGUGGAUAAUUAUUUUUUAUGCCUUUGUUUGUCCCAUAAUUUUAAUGCUUAGUAUAUAGGAAUAGGCCACUUCUUCGCAAGUUUGGUGAGAAGGAAACUAAUGCUAAUGGUCUUUUAAUUAAGUAGGCCCAAGAGAGAGUAAAGAAAAUUUGUGAAGCAAAUGUGGAUCCUUUGAAAGGUGCUACAAAUGGCAAUAUUGCCAGUUUAAGUGUUUCUUCAAGCCCUAAUCAACAUAUUGUUAAUGGGGGUUAUCUAGAGUGAUCUCAUAACUGUUUGAAAAUUAACACAUCCUUUUCACCUGUAGGCAUUCCCUUGCUGUGAUUACCAGUGGUAGCUGUACUUAAACUAAGCCGUAGUUACAUUUGCAGUUUUUGUAGGAUCCAUCAAUUUUUGGGUGUGUUCGACAUUGGUGAAAAAUUUAUGUCCACUCUCUCUCAGUUUGAUGUAUUGUAUGAAAAUAAUCUAAUCGUGGCUGAUGUGAAUAUCAUUUUUACUUAGUGUCAACUGGUACCCAUUCUCAAACGCACUUAAACAUUCGCUAUGAAUUUUCUCUACUAGUAUAUUUCUGUGAUUUUCUUGUAUAUUUGAAAUUGCUUAUUUGUUAUGACUUCUCUCCAGGAUUUCGUGCCUUGAAGCGUGGCUGAAUACAAACAUUAGUGCCUGAAUUGUGAGUUCAUGAAUCUGCAAGUUAACAUGGGCAAUCAAACGAAACCAGACCCAUAGAUUUCUUGAAGAGGCAAAUAUAUCGUCACUGCUAUUUUCAUGCAUCAUUGAAUCAUUUGCGAGAUUAGAUGCAUCAUAUAUUCCACAGUUAGCACUUUCAUUGUAAUUUUCUUUUUCCACUUUCGCACAGGAACUUGUGGCAGGAUCUUGCAAGAGAAAGGAGAGAGAGUCUACCUUUUUUCAAUUGAGAUUUCUCAUCCAAAAUGGUCGUGCUUUGGGUGUCACUAAGUAAAUCUUGUUUAAUGUUUUCCAUUACAUCACAAAAUUCUGGUGUCUUGUCUGAAGGUACAAAUCCAGUAGUUUGUUCUGAAAUACAGUUUCCAAUGUUGUUUUCUAGAUCACAAAUCCACAUAGAUGGAUGGAGAUCUUGCACCUUCAGUUGUUCCCAGCUUCUUUGCUCCAAAAUAACGAUGCUCCUCACAAUUUCCAUCUGUUCAAUUGCAACAAUAGCCAUCACUAGUAACAGUAGAUAAUGCAAUUAUCAAAGUUUGGUUGAAAAUGAGUUCAGAAUUACGACUACAGCUGAAUAAUUUGCAAGAUCAACAUUCAGCAACGCAUCCUAUAUGGAGAAAAGUUGAUAAGUAAAUUGUUGUAUUCACAAUGAAGAUGAGUGAUAUUGUACCAGAGCUAGAGGACAAGGUUUCUUCAGGCACGUGUUCAGCAGUCAGGUGAUUAAGAUUUUGUCCGAAAGUUAAAGGAGGUAAUUGUGUGAUGGCUGUUAAUUCUACAUCCUGGAAGCUAGAGGGAGAAUAUCCUUGAGCGGCAGCCACUCGAUCAAAUUCAAGACCUCUGGAUUCUUUUGGAUUUUCAAAAGUAGAAGCAUUUCUGGCGAAUCUAUAGCUAUCUUGAGUUGUUGGCUCAAAAUAUAAACAAGCCUGUCACACUGGAUCAUUUUUUCAUAGUUAUUGUUCGACACGUCUGGAGAGUAUUGUAGAAAAUGCUUCCUGUUCAAACAACAUCAAAGAUUCGGUCACUCGAAAACCAGGACAAAAGUUUUCAGGAUCCCAAAAUUAUUCAGUCAAGUAAUUAUAAGAUCUAUGGUCAAAACCCAAAGGUUAUAACAUGAAAUUUCCGUAGAAUGAAAAACAUAUCCCUAUAUAUAUAUAUUAACAGAGGGACUUCAUCUUGGCACUGUUUAUAGGAACGCAUGCCUUUUUUUGGAUUUACUGGUUUGACUAUUGUUUUUUUACCUUUCUUAUAUUAAUUUU